rnacentral:lncRNA from 1 species
ACCUCUAGUUUAACUCUUUAAGAGCCAGAUGGCAAGCUGACAGCAGUCAGAAAAGGCAACUGUCUAAGCUUAUUUGGAGUGGUUGCCGUUUAAGGGAAAGGAGACAUUUGUCCAGCAUCGUUCAAAACAAAUUUUGUUUUUUCUGCUCGUGGAUGUGAAAAUAUUUAUUGUCCUGUUGGUUGUCCAAAGCCUGCUUCAGACACGUAAGUGGCCAGGCAACACACACAGCUGUCAGACACAGGCAACAACUGCCACAGAGGCAUCCGAGAAACCAGGGACAGCAGGAGUUGAGAUCCACUGGAAGCCGUGGCCGCCAGACCUAACCAAUGGAUGCCAGAGUGUGUGUCAGCCCUAACAGGGAUAGGAGACCAGCCUCACUUCAGUUUCUUUUCCAUGCUUUUCCUGGGGAUCCUGCUAUUUUUGUUGGGAUACGGGGAUUAUGAGGACCUGGAGAUUUAAAAGACUAAAAAUUACUUUCUAAACAGAAGUGGAUAAAAAUUAUACACUCGAAGAACAUGUAAUAUGCCCUUUCAAGAAUGUUCUGGUUUACCAGAAAAUGAUUAUA